rnacentral:misc_RNA from 1 species
GUUAGGAAAAACUUAGCUUACCUAAUCCAAUCAAACCCCGGACAGCAGGCCUCCCCUUGAGAACCAAACUAGGGCUAAGUAAGCUAAGUGGAAAAACCUGAUGGAAAAUACAAACACCAAGAACUGAAGCCACAGGACAAAGAACAACAUUGUCCAAUUGCAAUUUAACCAAAACUCAAAAUACUUGUAGCUGGGCUUUCUGAGCAAGACUGAAACAUGGCAACAACACUAAAAAAGACUAAGCACAUUUUAUCACUAAAGAAGACCCAUAACAACACUGAUGACAAGCAAAUCAAUAAUAGCAUCAACACAAAGGCAACCCAAAAUACUUUGAUAACGAGAAAACCAACAACAGCAUCAACACAG